rnacentral:rRNA from 1 species
GGUUAAGCGACUAAGCGUACACGGUGGAUGCCCUGGCAGUCAGAGGCGAUGAAGGGCGUGCUAAUCUGCGAUAAGCGCCGGUAAGGUGAUAUGAACCGUUAUAACCGGCGAUACCCGAAUGGGGAAACCCAGUGUGACUCGUCACACUAUCAUUAACUGAAUCCAUAGGUUAAUGAGGCGAACCGGGGGAACUGAAACAUCUAAGUACCCCGAGGAAAAGAAAUCAACCGAGAUUCCCCCAGUAGCGGCGAGCGAACGGGGAGGAGCCCAGAGCCUGAAUCAGCAUGUGUGUUAGUGGAAGCGUCUGGAAAGGCGCGCGAUACAGGGUGACAGCCCCGUACACAAAAGCGCAUGUGCUGUGAGCUCGAUGAGUAGGGCGGGACACGUGGUAUCCUGUCUGAAUAUGGGGGGACCAUCCUCCAAGGCUAAAUACUCCUGACUGACCGAUAGUGAACCAGUACCGUGAGGGAAAGGCGAAAAGAACCCCGGCGAGGGGAGUGAAAAAGAACCUGAAACCGUGUACGUACAAGCAGUGGGAGCACAGGUUUACCUGUGUGACUGCGUACCUUUUGUAUAAUGGGUCAGCGACUUAUAUUCUGUAGCAAGGUUAACCGUAUAGGGGAGCCGUAGGGAAACCGAGUCUUAACCGGGCGUUAAGUUGCAGGGUAUAGACCCGAAACCCGGUGAUCUAGCCAUGGGCAGGUUGAAGGUUGGGUAACACUAACUGGAGGACCGAACCGACUAAUGUUGAAAAAUUAGCGGAUGACCUGUGGCUGGGGGUGAAAGGCCAAUCAAACCGGGAGAUAGCUGGUUCUCCCCGAAAGCUAUUUAGGUAGCGCCUCGUGAAUUCAUCUCCGGGGGUAGAGCACUGUUUCGGCUAGGGGGCCAUCCCGGCUUACCAACCCGAUGCAAACUGCGAAUACCGGAGAAUGUUAUCACGGGAGACACACGGCGGGUGCUAACGUCCGUCGUGAAGAGGGAAACAACCCAGACCGCCAGCUAAGGUCCCAAAGUCAUGGUUAAGUGGGAAACGAUGUGGGAAGGCCCAGACAGCCAGGAUGUUGGCUUAGAAGCAGCCAUCAUUUAAAGAAAGCGUAAUAGCUCACUGGUCGAGUCGGCCUGCGCGGAAGAUGUAACGGGGCUAAACCAUGCACCGAAGCUGCGGCAGCGACACUGUGUGUUGUUGGGUAGGGGAGCGUUCUGUAAGCCUGUGAAGGUGUGUCGUGAGGCAUGCUGGAGGUAUCAGAAGUGCGAAUGCUGACAUAAGUAACGAUAAAGCGGGUGAAAAGCCCGCUCGCCGGAAGACCAAGGGUUCCUGUCCAACGUUAAUCGGGGCAGGGUGAGUCGACCCCUAAGGCGAGGCCGAAAGGCGUAGUCGAUGGGAAACGGGUUAAUAUUCCCGUACUUGGUGUUACUGCGAAGGGGGGACGGAGAAGGCUAUGUUGGCCGGGCGACGGUUGUCCCGGUUUAAGCGUGUAGGUGUGUGUUCCAGGUAAAUCCGGUUCACUUUAACACUGAGGCGUGACGACGAGGCACUACGGUGCUGAAGCAACAAAUGCCCUGCUUCCAGGAAAAGCCUCUAAGCAUCAGGUAACAUCAAAUCGUACCCCAAACCGACACAGGUGGUCAGGUAGAGAAUACCAAGGCGCUUGAGAGAACUCGGGUGAAGGAACUAGGCAAAAUGGUGCCGUAACUUCGGGAGAAGGCACGCUGACACGUAGGUGAAGUGAUUUACUCAUGGAGCUGAAGUCAGUCGAAGAUACCAGCUGGCUGCAACUGUUUAUUAAAAACACAGCACUGUGCAAACACGAAAGUGGACGUAUACGGUGUGACGCCUGCCCGGUGCCGGAAGGUUAAUUGAUGGGGUCAGCGCAAGCGAAGCUCCUGAUCGAAGCCCCGGUAAACGGCGGCCGUAACUAUAACGGUCCUAAGGUAGCGAAAUUCCUUGUCGGGUAAGUUCCGACCUGCACGAAUGGCGUAAUGAUGGCCAGGCUGUCUCCACCCGAGACUCAGUGAAAUUGAACUCGCUGUGAAGAUGCAGUGUACCCGCGGCAAGACGGAAAGACCCCGUGAACCUUUACUAUAGCUUGACACUGAACAUUGAGCCUUGAUGUGUAGGAUAGGUGGGAGGCUUUGAAGUGUGGACGCCAGUCUGCAUGGAGCCGACCUUGAAAUACCACCCUUUAAUGUUUGAUGUUCUAACGUGGACCCGUAAUCCGGGUUGCGGACAGUGUCUGGUGGGUAGUUUGACUGGGGCGGUCUCCUCCUAAAGAGUAACGGAGGAGCACGAAGGUUGGCUAAUCCUGGUCGGACAUCAGGAGGUUAGUGCAAUGGCAUAAGCCAGCUUGACUGCGAGCGUGACGGCGCGAGCAGGUGCGAAAGCAGGUCAUAGUGAUCCGGUGGUUCUGAAUGGAAGGGCCAUCGCUCAACGGAUAAAAGGUACUCCGGGGAUAACAGGCUGAUACCGCCCAAGAGUUCAUAUCGACGGCGGUGUUUGGCACCUCGAUGUCGGCUCAUCACAUCCUGGGGCUGAAGUAGGUCCCAAGGGUAUGGCUGUUCGCCAUUUAAAGUGGUACGCGAGCUGGGUUUAGAACGUCGUGAGACAGUUCGGUCCCUAUCUGCCGUGGGCGCUGGAGAACUGAGGGGGGCUGCUCCUAGUACGAGAGGACCGGAGUGGACGCAUCACUGGUGUUCGGGUUGUCAUGCCAAUGGCACUGCCCGGUAGCUAAAUGCGGAAGAGAUAAGUGCUGAAAGCAUCUAAGCACGAAACUUGCCCCGAGAUGAGUUCUCCCUGAGACUUAGAGUCUCCUGAAGGAACGUUGAAGACGACGACGUUGAUAGGCCGGGUGUGUAAGCGCAGCGAUGCGUUGAGCUAACCGGUACUAAUGAACCGUGAGGCUUAACCUU